GCGACGGAUGGGCCAUGAGUGGGUGUAAUCGGAAGGGGGCAAGCGUUGUCCGGAUGUAGUGUGCGUAAGGGGCGUUGAGGCGGCUAGGUAGGUCCGCUGUUAAAACUCGAGGCUAAACCUCGAGAGGUCGGUGGAAACCAUCUGGCUAGAGUCCGGAAGAGGAGAUUGGAAUUCCUGGUGUAGCGGUGGAAUGCGCAGAUAUCAGGAAGAACACCCGUGGCGAAGGCGGCUCUCUGGGACGGUACUGACGCUGAGACGCGAAAGCGUGGGGAGCGAACAGGAUUAGAUACCCGUGUAGUC
rnacentral:rRNA from 1 species